rnacentral:rRNA from 1 species
CCCUUAGAUGUUCUGGGCUGCACGCGCGCUACACUGAUGCACUCAACGAGUUUACGACCUUGCCCGAUAGGGUUGGGUAAUCUUUUUAAAAUGCAUCGUGAUGGGGAUAGAUUAUUGCAAUUAUUAAUCUUCAACGAGGAAUUCCUAGUAAGCGCGAGUCAUCAGCUCGUGCUGAUUACGUCCCUGCCCGUUGUACACACCGCCCGUCGCUCCUACCGAUUGAGUGCUCAGGUGAAUAAUUCGGACUGCAGCAAUGUUUGGAUCCCGAACGUUGCAGCGGAAAGUUUAGUGAACCUUAUCACUUAGAGGAAGGAGAAGUCGUAACA